GUGCCUAAGACAUGCAAGUCGAACGAGGUCCACCCGGUGGCAACACCGGCGACGACCUAGUGGCGAACGGGUGAGUAACACGUGAGGAACCUGCCCCGAAGACCGGGAUAACCCUCCGAAAGGAGAGCUAAUACCGGAUGUCCCCUGGAGGUCGCAUGGCCACCAGAGGAAAUGCUUUUGUGCUUCGGGAGGGCCUCGCGGCCUAUCAGCUUGUUGGUGGGGUAACGGCCCACCAAGGCAUCGACGGGUAGCUGGUCUGAGAGGACGAUCAGCCACACUGGGACUGAGACACGGCCCAGACUCCUACGGGAGGCAGCAGUUAGGAAUCUUGCGCAAUGGGCGAAAGCCUGACGCAGCAACGCCGCGUGGGGGAUGAAGGCCCUCGGGUCGUAAACCCCUUUCAGUGGGGACGAAACUGACGGUACCCACAGAAGAAGUCCCGGCCAACUACGUGCCAGCAGCCGCGGUAACACGUAGGGGACAAGCGUUGUCCGGAUUUAUUGGGCGUAAAGGGCUCGUAGGCGGUUCGGCAAGUCGGGUGUGAAACCUCCAGGCUCAACCUGGAGUCGCCACCCGAAACUGCUGUGACUUGAGUCCGGUAGGGGAGCACGGAAUUCCUGGUGUAGCGGUGGAAUGCGCAGAUAUCAGGAGGAACACCAGUGGCGAAGGCGGUGCUCUGGGCCGGUACUGACGCUGAGGAGCGAAAGCAUGGGGAGCGAACAGGAUUAGAUACCCUGGUAGUCCAUGCCGUAAACGUUGGGCACUAGGUGUGGGACCCUCUCAACGGGUUCCGCGCCGUAGCUAACGCAUUAAGUGCCCCGCCUGGGGAGUACGGCCGCAAGGCUAAAACUCAAAGGA
rnacentral:rRNA from 1 species